UAUCUCUAAAUAGAAGCACCCCACUAGAAGGAUUUUUCUCUCCAUGCAGCUAUGCCACAUCACUUGCCUAUUUGUCUCAACAUGAAACUGUCCACGUCAUCGAUAAAGCCCAGCUCAUCGACCGGUUCAUGUGGUUCUUCUUCCAGCGCCUCAUUUGCUUGGUGUGUCGUCGUCUCCAUUGAUUAACACUGUUCAUCUUCUCUUCUUCCACUAACUGAAGUAAUUAAAAGGCACUGAUGGAUUCACCUUCCUCUUCUCCUACUUUAAAAAGGAUGCCGGGAUUGCAGAUUGUUCAUCUGCCCCGAAGCUAGGCAUCAAUCGAUCCAGGGAGCAACUCUGCUGAGCAUUAGCGCAACUGCACAAGGCAUCCCGUCACACGUUGGGCAUCCUCCACCGGUAGUGUGCGUGACCACUGUAUACAAUUUUUGCUUCUAUCUACAUCCAUCCCAUUCGGUCUAUAUUUGAGCAGGUUUUGUCCUGCAUGAGAUCUCUGUCCUCCGCAGGAAUCAAGACCCGGCGAGGCAGGCGCUGACUCAGAUGAGGCGGUCACUCACCAAGAUAACCCAUACUUCAUAUUCCUCUUUUCCUCUUCCUCACUUUUCUGUCGUUUAUCUCUUGCACUACAGGUAUUCGAUGAUUUGUUCGUCAUGCCGAUCUGUUGACUUCAUUGAACAUAUAGCCUCAUAAAAAACCUGAACGGCCAAGAAUGCAAAUGUAUCAUGGUCAGAUGGUACCAUAUGUUGUCUCAAAAGAUGUCAAUCCACAAGAGCGAUGCAUUGUAUCAGUCUAUCAGACAUGAAAGAAAAGGGACCAGUUCAUGUUCCAUGCCCUUCAGGUAAUAUGGAAAAAUAUAUGGUUCCAUAGUUCUUCCGAAAAAGCCUUGUGAGGGUUAUAGCUCAUGUGUUUGAAGUAAUGUACCGCCAGGUCA